rnacentral:rRNA from 1 species
AUUGAACGCUGGCGGCAGGCCUAACACAUGCAAGUCGAACGGUAGCACAGAGAGCUUGCUCUUGGGUGACGAGUGGCGGACGGGCGAGUAAUGCCUGGGAAACUGCCCGAUGGAGGGGGAUAACUACUGGAAACGGUAGCUAAUACCGCAUAACGUCUUCGGACCAAAGUGGGGGACCUUCGGGCCUCACACCAUCGGAUGUGCCCAGAUGGGAUUAGCUAGUAGGUGGGGUAAAGGCUCACCUAGGCGACGAUCCCUAGCUGGUCUGAGAGGAUGACCAGCCACACUGGAACUGAGACACGGUCCAGACUCCUACGGGAGGCAGCAGUGGGGAAUAUUGCACAAUGGGCGCAAGCCUGAUGCAGCCAUGCCGCGUGUAUGAAGAAGGCCUUCGGGUUGUAAAGUACUUUCAGCGGGGAGGAAGGCGUUAAGGUUAAUAACCUUGGCGAUUGACGUUACCCGCAGAAGAAGCACCGGCUAACUCCGUGCCAGCCGCCGCAGUAA